GUGCCAGCAGCCGCGGUAAUACGUAGGUGGCGAGCGUUGUCCGGAUUUACUGGGCGUAAAGGGAGCGUAGGUGGACUUUUAAGUGAGAUGUGAAAUACCCGGGCUCAACUUGGGUGCUGCAUUUCAAACUGGAAGUCUAGAGUGCAGGAGAGGAGAAUGGAAUUCCUAGUGUAGCGGUGAAAUGCGUAGAGAUUAGGAAGAACACCAGUGGCGAAGGCGAUUCUCUGGACUGUAACUGACGCUGAGGCUCGAAAGCGUGGGGAGCAAACAGGAUUAGAAACCCCCGUAGUCC
rnacentral:rRNA from 1 species